rnacentral:tRNA from 1 species
AGAGGUAUAACCCAAGUGGUAGGGUACUGGCUUUGCAAGUUCAAGGACCUGAGUUCAAAUCCCGGUACUACCA